AUUCAGCAGACGAGUCCCAAACAGGCCGAAAUGGUCGUCAUUCUGGAU
rnacentral:hammerhead_ribozyme from 1 species